UGCUUCUCGCUGACGAGCGGCGGACGGGUGAGUAAUMCUUAGGAAUCUACCUAGUAGUGGGGGAUAGCACGGGGAAACUCGUAUUAAUACCGCAUACGACCUACGGGAGAAAGGGGGCAGUUUACUGCUCUCGCUAUUAGAUGAGCCUAGAGAUCGGAUUAGCUAGACUGGUGGGGUAAAGGCAGCUACCAUGGCGACGAUACUGUAGCUGAGUCUCGAGAGGAUGAUCAGCCACACCGGGACUGAGACACGGCCCGGACUCCUACGGGAGGCAGCAGUGGGGAAUAUUGGACAAUGGGGGAAACCCUGAUCCAGCCAUGCCGCGUGUGUGAAGAAGGCCUUUUGGUUGUAAAGCACUUUAAGCAGUGAAGAAGACUCC
rnacentral:rRNA from 1 species